AAGUGUUACAGCUCUUUUAGAAUUUGUCUAGCAGCCUUUCCGUUUUUUUGCCAGAAAGCCCCU
rnacentral:snRNA from 1 species